CAAGCCCAGCCUCCAUCCCCACCACCCAGCUCAGCGAGGCCUGGCCACCACACCAAGAGCAAACCCCAUCUGCAGAAGAGAGCUCCCAGGAAUGCUCUUGACAAGGAGACUCCCCUCCAAAACUGUAAUUGAAAUGAAAAUGGGGACUGCAGGAAGGCAGAUGGGCAUGGCAGUUCUCCAGCACCAAGCAAAAGCUGCAUUUCUGCCGCCAGUAUCUGCUGAGGGAAGCCAAUCCCAGAGAGAAAAGGGCAGCAUUAGCACAUUGAGAGACCUCUGCUUGCUGCUUGGGAGCAGAAGCCUCACACCCACACAAUCUCAUCCAGAUGGAGGCUUUCAACCAUCCAGACAUCUGCUGGGAAAGCAGUACAGCAGGCUGAGAGCAAUCCAGGAGACUCCUAGAGUGCCUAGAGGACAACCUACUGGUCCAGGUAUCGGACAAAGCUGCCAAAGAAGUGUUGCUGGACCUGGUGCUCACAUGUGCUGAUGAGCUCAUCAGAGAAGUUUAGUGGAGGCUGUCUGGACUGUAGCAGCCAGGCCCUGGAUUGGGUCCAUGAUCUUGAGGAACAUGGGUCUUGUAGGGAUCAGAGUGAACUUCUAUCUGUUUAAAAAAUUAGUGGACGAGAUCCCCAGGAAAGCUGCCCUUAGGGACAGAGGAGCUGACCAGAGCUUUCAGGACACUGUUCUUAGCUCUCUAUACACGUGAGUCAGGAAUCAAGCACUGAGUAAUUCUUUAGGUGACUUGAGGAGUAGAAGAGGCCAUUACAGCUGACUACUCUGCUCUGCUGCAACAAGGAAGCCUUUGCUCCAAGACCUCACAAUCAAAUAUAAGACAAACAAGAAAGGUGGAAUAACCAGGGUGGAGAGGGAGUCAAGGGCCAGAGGAAAGUGUGAUGUGUACCAGAGCUACAGGGACUGAGGCUUUCUAUUCCUAAUUAACAGACUCACUUGUCUUGUUUUCUGCUCUGACCACCAUAUGAGCCUUUUAAAUAUAGAAGGCUCCUCCCUGGCUAUGUACACAGCCAGCCAGGCACCACCAUCCAUCUCAGCUACAUGGCCACAGGUCACAUUUUCAGAACCACUUGAUGGGUGGAUUAAUGGCUGCCUUUUUAUUGCCAGCUCCCCAGCUUUUGAGGCGGGGUGGAGGCAGGAAGGAAAAAAAUAACUAAUAAAAACACACCAUAUGUGAAGUUUUGAAGUGUCAUGAAGGUGGAUU